AACGCUGGCGGCGCGCUUAACACAUGCAAGUCGAGCGAGAACCGGGACUUCGGUCCCGGGGACAGCGGCGAACGGGUGAGUAACACGUGGGUAAUCUGCCCUCGAUUCUGGGAUAGCCCGGGGAAACCCGGAUUAAUACCGGACAGCCUUUCGAGCCUUCGGGCGUGAAAGAAAAGGUAGCUUCGGCCUCCGAUCGAGGAUGAGCCCGCGGUGGAUUAGCUUGUUGGUGGGGUAAUGGCCCACCAAGGCGACGCUCCAUAGCUGGUCUGAGAGGACGAUCAGCAACACUGGGACUGAGACACGGCCCAGACUCCUACGGGAGGCAGCAGGGGGGAAUCUUGCGCAAUGGGCGAAAGCCUGACGCAGCGAGGCCGCGUGGGGGAAGAAGGCCUUAGGGUUGUAAACCUCUUUCAGGCGGGACGAAGCCACUCGGGUGAAUAGCCCAGAGGGUGACGGUACCGCCAGAAGAAGCCCCGGCUAACUACGUGCCAGCAGCCGCCGUAACAC
rnacentral:rRNA from 1 species